rnacentral:lncRNA from 1 species
GGUCACGGAAAUGCUGUAAAUCACGCAAGAUCUCCUCCUGUAUAGUCAUCUGACGAGCAUACUCGUCUCUCUGCCACUCUAGCUCAGCUCGUUGAUAUGGCUUGAACUGCUGCUUCCUGACAUACUUCUUUCUCUGAUAAGCCUCAAACACGGCGAGGUGCCCAAACUCAUCCCAGGCGUAUGUCUCGAAUGCUCGAUGAUGGGUUAACUCCUUCCGAGCAUACGCCUUAAAAGUUGUCUGGCGUACAUCUGUCGCCUGCUGCACUAAACGAAUAGUCAUGACAUCAGAGCGCAUGACUGUAAGCUAAGCAUCUUGCUGCUGCGCGUAUGUCUUCAGACGACCCAUCAUAUCCAUGAGGUCUGUCACAUCAAAAUGAAAAUCAGCGCCAACAACGGCACCAUCUACCCCGUGAGGAGAGGAAUUAACAUCAUCAUCCUCGGCAUUCUUGUCCUCUAUGGCAAUCGGGCCACCACCUUGGACGUGGACUAUAACCGUCUAAUGGGCAGGAGUGUCCAACUUCCAAUUGAUCAUGUCAUGUCGACCAUUAACAGUAUCAACGUGAUGUUGGGCACCGAAAAUUGAUCUCUGUCCUUUUGAAUCAGUUUGAAAGGCAGGUGUGUUUUAGAAAGGCAGUGUCCUUUAACCAAUGUCCCUACAUUAUAACCAAAGAAAAAGAUAAUUUUUAUCUUAGUCUUGACAUACUUUUAGCGAUGGAGAUUGUAGACAAUUGACAAGCCUGUGGUAAUCGGUAAGUAAUCCAGAUUGUAUUAAAUUUCGAUGAAAGUAUACACACCAUAUUCCAUCAAUUGAGAUUUGACUGAACACAUACUUGUGAGAUUCAAUUGUUUGAAAUUUUAAUGUUGAUUUUAUUAUGGGUUGUACUUAUUGGUGAUUUUUGUGCCAAAUUAUUGAGGAUUUGAAAAAAAUUAUUUCAUUCUAUACUUUUUUUAGGCAUCGAUGAUUUAGAAUUCUAUACAUUCGUGUUUAUUGAUUGUGUUUUUCUAAUUAUUCAAGGACGAACAAUUGCUUAAGUUUGGGAGAGUUGAUAAACAUUCAUUUUGCAUUGUUUUUAUUGGUAUGUUAUUAUAUGAAGUGUUAGAAUUAUGCUUGAAUGUGAUAUCAUUUGUUAUGAGUUUUGUAUUCUUUCAUGACAUUACGCUUGAGUGUAGUUUUGGUUGUUUUGGUAAAGAUUUGAGUGUUAUAAUUUCAAUAAUGUAGGUCCAGGAUCGAGUAUGGGGAGUAUCAGACACGAAAAUAAAUAAAAAAACGGGUUCAAAAAGAUGAAUAAUCGGGCAAAAAGAUAGAGCUCGGCGACCACUAUAGUGGUCGUCGAGGUUAGGCGUGAGUAUGGCGACCGCCACGGAGGUCGUCGGCGUCUUUGGAUGAGUUUGGUGAGCUUGGCGACCCUAGCGGCGGUCGCCAACGGGAAGAAGGAUUCUGUGCAUGAGUCCGACGAUCGCGUGUCCUUUUUUUGCGUUUUUCUACGUAUUUUCAUAUUUUUAAAUUGAGUUUAUCCUUGAGCCUGCAAAUAGGUCUCAUUGUCCGUUUUCGUAUUUUAAUAUUCCUAGACUUAGAACUUUGUUGAUUUCUAAUUUUUAGAGUUUGGAUCAGAUUUUCACAAGAUUGAAGAUUCAAGUUUGUUACGUCGAACUCAUUUCAGGUAUUAUUUAAUUUAUUCUUUCCAAUUGCUUUAUUUUUAGUUAUGUUUUUGUUUUAUUUUUUAAUGUCUGGCUAGUUUAUUUUNUUAUUCUAGGGGUUUGUAUGUAGUUGAUAGAAUAUGUGGCUCACACAAAAUUAUCUCUUCUUACACUUAGGGUGUGUUUGGUAGGUCAUAUUAGGCGAGUUUGUAUAGGUAACUGGUCUUAUUUAUCCGUUUGGUAGCCCAUUUUCAUAACAAGGUAGGCCCGCACUUAUGGCAAGGCCUGUCCCUAAUCAACUGUUCCGCCUCUAUACUGCAUCCGGCGAGAGGGGUCGGUUACCUUUACUGCUGUGCCACAGUAGAUUAGUUAAGUUUUUUUAUUCCCCAUUUGCCCCUUAUUAAAAUUCAAAAAAAGAUAGAAUUUUGAGGCAAUAUGAAUGUCUUUUAAAAAUGUUUAUGGGGUCAUAAUAGUAAUUUCUGCAUGUUAUCUUAAUUUUAGCAAAAGCUGCCAAACACCGCUCCAUGUUAACAUGCGUUUUUAACUUGCAUACCAAACACACGAACUCAUAUAGCAAACUCAAUUAAACUUUGAAAUAUAUCCUAAUCUUAUCUAUCCUGCUAUAACCCCAACCACCUACCAAACAUGCCCUUAAAAAAUAAUAUCCUAUUAUAAACUAAAGAUAAACGAGAGAAUAGAGAAGAUAAUAUGUAUUGAGCAUAUUCAAUAUGAGGGCCAAAGACCUCUAUUUAUACAAGUAGGAAGCUAGAGUUUUAGGGAGAUUUCUUGGUCAACACACAUAAGAUAUAUCUAGAAGAUAUAUUUACAACACUUGCCUUUGAUUGACCAAUCCCUAAAACAAAAAUGUUGCCUCAUUAAAAACCUUGCCAGGAAAACCCAAUGGGACAAAACCUAGUCGAAGGAAAAAGAGUACAACUGCUUCCCCUGAACUUGAGAUCAUUGAAGAUCUUUGAGUCGGCGCAUGCCGAUCUCAUGUACCAACUUUCUGAAUGUCGAUGUUGGUAAUGCCUUGGUGAAUAAGUCCGCCAGAAUAUUACUUGAGCGAAUUUGUUGAACGUCGAUAUCACCAUCCUUUUGAAGGUCGUGUGUGUAGAAUAACUUAGGAGAAAUAUGCUUCAUCCUAUCGCCUUUGAUGUGUCCUCAUUUGAGUUGCGCGAUGCAAGCAACAUUGUCUUCAUAUAAAAUAGUUGGUUUUGCCUUUGAUGAAGCUAACCCGCACGACUCUUGGACAUGACUCGUCACAUGUCUCAACCACGCACAUUCUCGACUUGUUUCGUGGAUUGCAAUGAUUUCAAAAUUAUUUGAAGAUGUUGCAGUCAAGGUUUGCUUCACAGACUUCCAUGAUAUAGCAGUUCCACCACAUGUGAAAACGAAUCCAGUUUGUGACUUAGCUUCAUGUGGAUCGGAUAAAAAUCCUGCAUCCGAAUACCCCACUAGAGUAUUAUCAGAAUUUUCUUGAUAAUAUAAUCCAAGGUCAAUGGUACCCUUUAGAUAACGUAGAAUGUGCUUAAGACCAUUCCAAUGUCUCAAAGUGGGUGCAACGCUAAAUCUUGCUAGAAGAUUGACAGAAAAAGCUAUAUCCGGUCUACUAUUAUUAGCCAGAUAAGUCAACACUCCAAUUGCACUUAGAUAUGGUACUUCAGGAUCAAGUAUUGUUUCACCCUCUUCAAUUGGUCGAAAUGGAUCUUUCUUAGUAUCAAGAGAUCUAACGACCAUUGGUGAUGCUAAUGGAUGUGCAUUAUCCAUAUAAAAGCGUUUUAACACUUUUUCUGUAUAUGUGGAUUGAUGGAUAAACGUUCCUCCACGGAUACGUUCCAUUUGCAAACCAAGACAAAACUUUGUCUUUCCCAAAUCUUUCAUCUCAAAUUCUUUCUUCAAAUAUUCAGCAGUUUUAUUGAGCUCUUCAGGAGUUCCAAUUAAAUUUAAAUCAUCAACAUAAAGUGCUAUGAUUGCAAAUCCACUUUCGGUUUUCUUAAUGAAAACACAAGGACAAAUAUAAUUAUUCAUGUAUCAUUCUUUCAAAAGAUACUCGGUCAGUCUAUUGUACCACAUACUACCAGACUGUUUCAACCCAUACAACAAUUUUUGCAGUUUAAUUGAAUACAUGCUUUUGGGUUUUGACUGCAAUCCUUCAGGCAUUUUAAAUCCUUCGGGAAUUUUCAUAUAUAUGUCAUUAUUUAAUGACCCAUAUAGAUAAGCAGUUACUACAUCUAUAAGGCGCAUAUCAAGCCUUUGUGACACAGCUAAACUAAUCAAAAUCUGAAAGUAAUAGCGUUCAUUACGAGAGAGUAUAUUUCCUUAUAAUCAAUUCCUGAUUUUUGAGAGAAACCUUGUGCUACGAGUCUUGUUCUAUAUCUCAUAACUUCAUUUUCUUGUUUCUCUUUCUAACAAAGAUCCAUCUGUAUCCAACAUGGAUUUUGGAUUCUGGAGUUAGAGUUAUAUAUCCAAAUACUUUUCGGUUAUCACAUGAAUUUAAUUCCCUUUCUAUAUCUUCUUUCACUUUGGCCAAUCAAGUCUCUGUUUGCAUUCUGCAACAGAUUUUAGUUGAGGAUCUUCAUUUAAAACAUGAAGAGCUAUAUGAAAGGUAAAUAUAUCAUCAACAAUGAUAUUUUCUCUCUCUAGUACCUGAUUUCAAUGUAAAUAAUUUAUUGAGAUCUCAUGAUUUUUAGAUACUUGUAAUUCUUCAGGAAUUACAUAACUUUUAUUUGGUUGAUUAGUCAUUUUCAUCAUUGUUUGGUUUACGACAUAGAUGUAUUUCAUAUCAAGAUUCAAGAAAUCGCAGUUUGAUUUAACUGGAAUAGAAAAGCAAUUGAACAUAAAUUAUGUGAUUGAAAACCUUAAUCAUCGCCAGCCACUUAAUUAAAUAAUAAAAAAUUUAGUAUAUUAACAUACAUGGAUCGAUGCGUGAUUUUCAUAUCAAGAAUUGUUAUACAAAUAUUAUACAGUUCGAAAAAAAAUCAAACUUUUUGAAUCAAAUAUGAAUGCAAGAUGAAGUUAUUUAAUUAACUACACUCUUAUAUGAUUCACAUAAAAUCAGCACAUAUAUAAAAAUUAAAGUAGAAUUACCUUUCUACGAUCGAAGGGAGAUGAGAGCUAGAACUAUCGUGCUGAUAACGUAUUAUAAACUAAAGAAAAACGAGAGAAUAGAGAAGAUAAUAUGUAUUGAGCGUAUUCAAUAUGAGGGCCAAAGGCCUCUAUUUAUACAAGUAGGAAGCUAGGGUUUUAGGGAGAUUUCUUGGUCAACACACAUAAGAUAUGUCUAGAAGAUAUAUUUUACAACAUAUCCUCAUUUCUCUCUCCCAUUUUCACAAAUUUACCUUGAAAAAGCUACUUUAUCUAUCCUAUUUUAUUAUAAGCUAUUCAUUUUUUAAUAUUGGUACUCAGGCCUUGUGGCCUAUUAAAAUGAGACGGAUGAAGUAUAUUGAAUAUUUUUUCAUAAAUUAAAUUUCACAAUUAUUAAGAAGUAAAUGAUAAAACAACAUUAUUUUGGGAGAUGAUUGAUAAAACUCAUUUUUCUAUGGCUUAUAAAUAUUCUUAUUAUGUCAAUUUUUAAGGAAUUAAGUGUUUGAUGAUUGUUUUGUGCUUAAAUUAUUUUAUCUUGUGAAAUGUGAUACUUGCUCGUACUUUGAUGAAAUCUACAGAAAUAUUGAAGCUGAAUUUAAAAAAAUUGUCGUAAUGAAAAUUGUAGAUAAUCUCGAUAUGAGUUCGUGAGCGCAAACGUAUUGCAAAUGGAAGUUUAGACGAUAGAUAUAUGGCCAAAACAACAAAGUCGCACGCAAUAGUGAAAAUUGGUGACCAUUUUGGCGAUCGCUGAUUUCUCUGUCUUUUUUGUGCGAAAAUGCAUUUUUAUUUGUAUUUUCGAGUUUUGUACUGUACUUUUCCCUUGUGCCUAUAUAUAAGUCCCUUUGUUGACCUAUUAGCCACCUCUCUUCACCCCUUUUCAUAUUUUUCAGUUUUUAACUUUAUAAUUUAUUGUUUUCAUAGUUGUUAUGUCUUAUUUUAUGCAAGAUUGAGGAUUUUAGUUAUUCAUUCCGAGUUAUUUUCGAGUUCUAUAAAUUUUAUUUAUUUCAAAUUAUUUCUUUUUAAUUAUGUUUAUGAUUUAUUUUAUUAUGUCUAGCUAGUCCUUUUUUUUAUUUUAGGAUUUACAUGUAGUUGAUUGAAUUUAUGUGAUUAAUUUAUUAAUGUUGUGGUCCUGUUUCUGAUUUACAAUUCAUAGUACUUAUUUUUCGUGGAUUAUCUGGCCAAUAAUUUGUAUGUUUAGCUAUUCAGUUUGAGACAUAGUGGAGAUAACUGUUUAGCCAAUUCAAAAAUUUGUGAUAUGAUUUUAACCUUGAGAUUUUGUGGAGACAGAGUAUUUAUUAAUCAACUAUCUUAAAAUGUUCUAGCGAGAAUGUGUGACUAUUUAUGUGAUCUCUCAUCAGUACUGGAUUAAACUGGUAAUUUGGAUUAAUAGGUUAAUUGUGUAGAUUAUCUUUUUCUAUCUUGGUUGUUUUAUCUAAUUUGAUUUAUUUUCUUUGCGUGAGUGUAGUUUUAGUUCAUUAUCAUAUUUCUAUGUGUUUGCUUGGAUAUUUGAUUAGUGCUUGCUAGGAUUAUUAUUAUCAAUAGUGUUUUCGAUUAUUCAAUUCUUGUGUAUAUAAUAUUUUACUUGUUGUUUGUACUACAAUUAUACUGUGUUAGUUACAAUUUUAUAUUGCUAGAAAAAUAGUGAUCAACGAUCUUUUUAUAUAUAAGAUAGUAUUUAAAUUUACAGAUUAUUUUUAUUCAUAAAAAAUAUAUUCAAUAUACAUCUUAAAUUAAAGAUAAUGAUAAAAUAUUUAAUUUAAAAUAAAAUUAAUUAAAAAUAAUUUUGAAACCAAUAAUAUAUGUGAAUUUAAAAUUUCAAAAUAUUUUUGUCUCUUCUUUUACUCCUGACUUUUUUUUCUCUCAACCUUUCACCCUCAUAUUUUCACAGUUAAUAUCUAUAAAUUAUUCUCUCUCAUCCUCUUUACAUUCUGAAAUAUUGCCCUCAAUAUUAAUAGUGAAAAAAUUGCCAUCAAUUUCGCGAAAAAUAAAUUAUUGAAAACUUGUGUUUUCAUAUCAUAUUGAAAAAAUUGCCCUCAAAAUUUUUGAUGAUUUUUAUACGAUCUUAAAGAUGUUGUCAUGAAUUUAAAUUUAAGAUUCAUAUUGAAUAUUUCUUCAUAAAUAAAAUUUGGUGAUGUUUACAAAGGAAUCAAAAUUAAAAAGAAGAAAGAAGAAAGAAGAAAGAAGAAAGAGAAAAAAUGUGAGAAAAUUGAUGGAAAAAGAGAAAAAAAAAUGGUGGAAAAUUUCUUCUUUAUAUAUUACUCCAUCCGUCCCACUUAUCUUGAUACACUUUUCUUUUUAAUUUGUCACAUUUAUAAUGAUACUUUCUAAAAAUAGUAUGUGGUCCCUACCUUUACACACAUAAAAUAAGUGAACCGUACCCACUUUAUACUCUUAGCUCUUAACUCUUUAUUCUUAAUAUCUGUAUCUAAAGUAAAAAUGUCAAAAUAAGUGGGACGGAGAGAGUACUGAAUACCGUGCAAAAUUUAGAUAGAGACGGUUUCUUACAUGAUUUAUCGGCUUAUCACAUUUCAUUUUGUUGUCAAAUCGAGAUAUUUUAUAUAUACAUUAACUUUCAUUUUAAAUUGUCCAAAUGAAAUUAAUAAUAUUGCAGAAGAAACAUGAAAGCAUGCUAUCAUGUUCCUUUUUCUUUUUUUGUUGAGUUGCAUGCUAUCAUGUUCUUAACCAUAGGAACGUUCACGAAACUUUUAGAAAAAGAAUUUAAUUCAAAUUGAUUUUUUAAUAUCAUAAACAAUAAUAUCUCGUAGCUGUUAAUAUAAUACUAAGUACUAAUAAAUUAGUGAAAGAAAUAUAAUCUAUUAUGACAAUGGUAAUAAUUACUCCCUUCAUCCCAGAAUAUAUGUUCUAAUUUAUUUAUUAAAUACAAAAAAAUUAGGAUACUUAUUAUGGGAUCCAUUUGUCCCAUAAUAUAUGUGUUCUAAUUUAUUUAUUAAAUACAAAAAAAUUAGUAUAACAUAUUUUAUGGGACGAAGUAAGUAGCAGUUGGUUGCCAAAAUAACAAUAGACUACACUUGACUUGCUAAAGGUAGAAACUGUGCAAGAAAUCUAGGGCUUGCUUUGUCAUUGACAUCACUUUGUUAUAGUACGCACAAAUAGAAAUAUUUAUAUAACACACAUUACGUGUCACAUUACGUGUGUGGGGUUGAAAUUACGAAUAAUGCUAUCAUCUAACAAAUUGUGUGUAUGAAAUCAUUGAACAUCUAUACUAUAUUAAAAAAAGAGUUUUCAAUUUGAAAUUAAUUUCAAAUUGAUUUGAAAUCAAUUUCAAUGGCGAUUUUAUAAUUAAAAGUUAAUUUAAGAGCAAUAAUUUCAGCUGUAAUGUGAUGUGAACAUUAAAAAAAAAAACUGUCGUUUGGUGAUAAAUCGUGUAUCCCACUACUUUUUUUUAACACCUCACAACAAAUCUUAAAAAUUGUGAAUAUAUAAUAUUAAAUUUAUAUUCAUCAUAAGCUUUGUGUUCCAUUUAAAAAAAGCGAAAAUAUAGUAGUAUUGUUUUGUGUUUUGUUAUUUUUUCUCUUCUGAACAAUUAUUUUGCUCAACUUUAUGCUAUAUUUUGAAAGACAAAGAAAUGCGACUCAAUCCUCUCAAAUUAACAAUGUUGAAAAUUUAAAUUUAUUUGUCUUUAGGUAAGGAAUAUAUAUAAUAAUUCAUAAAAUUGAAAAUAAGUUAUAUAAGCCCACAAAUAUCAACGUCUAAAUUAUAAAUACAUUAUUGAUUUUUUUUUUCACAAUUGUGAAAAAAAAAAAACAGCCAAACAUAAUUUAACUAUAUAUAUGUGUUAGGUAAUGACAAUUGUAAAUAAUAAACAAGGUUUAUACAUUAAAAAUUCAAAUAAUACACUUAAAACAUAUUUUGCCACACGAUGGAGUAAUAUUCUUAAAUGUCCCAACAUGAUAUUAAAAUAAAGUAGAGAUCAUCAAGUUACAACAUAUAGCUGAUAUUAUCUUAAUUACUUAAUUAAAAUGAAUACUUAAAUACUCCCUCCGUCCAUGAAAGAACUUCCUAGGAGGGAGUGGCACGAGUUUUAAGAAAAAAUAUUAUUUAGUGUAUUAAGAGUGGAUAAAAGGUAGUUGAGUGUAUUGGGAGUGGUGAAAAGGUGUUAUAAUUAAUAUUGAGAGUUGUGAAAAAUGAAAAGUAAUAGGAUUAUAAGUGGUGGGGUAUAGUCCAAAAAUAGGUAGGAAGUUUUUUGUGGACGUCCCAAAAAGGAAAGAUAUGAAGUUGUUUCGUGGACGAAGGGAGUAUUAGUUUUUCAACUUUGAAUUAUGAUUAAAAGAUUUAAAUAAGUUACUUAUUUCAUAUUUUAACCUGACUACUUUUUUUAAUAUUAUUACAGUUUAAUUCUGCAAUCAAUUUAAAUAGGGUAGAUAAAUUGAUUAAGUUACUACAACUCCAAGGAAUGAUUAGAUAUGACGAGUGCGGGCUACGUACAUUCCUAUUUAUUUUCUCUUUUGAACAAGACUACCUACUUCUAUGAUUUUGUUUUGUAGGAGUAUAAUUUGAUACAUAAUUUAUUUUUCUUUAGCCUCUAUUUAAUUAAAUAAUGAAAAUAAUAAUAAAUGUUAUAAAAUUAUGCUUUCUUAAUACCACUACGUGCAUUUAAACGUUUUAAUUUAAUAAAAAAAAUUAAAAUUACAUUAUUUUUUACCAUUCAUAAUUUUAUAUUUAUGUAUUUGUACAUUUUAAUUUUUUAUAUUAUUUUUUAAUAUAAUAUAAUGAUCGUGCAUGGCACGGUGGGCAAAUACUAGUUGAAUUAAUAUAACACUAUUUUAUAUCAAGUAGUCGAUACCCGAUUACUUAUAAUGCGGUCUCUAGUCUUAGACCCAUUAAUUAUUUAUAUAUACUUUCCACCUCCCUUCCAAUUAUAUAAACUUAUUUUUCUUUUUUAAAUUAAUAUCUCCAAUGUAUAAAUUUAUUUUCAUAAAAGAUACUCCCUUCAUAAAUUACUUCAACACGGGUUUUAAGAAUUAUGUUGAGGGUUUGUAAGUGUAAUAUAAAUCUCACAUUAUUUAUGAGUGUAAUUAGUGGUGCCAAGGGCCAACCGGAACCGGCGGUUCGACCCUGAACCGGCCCGGUGGUCAACGGUUCCAGCCCGGACCGUUGACCACCGGGCCGGUUCAAGGCCGAACCGUCAAACGUUAAGGGCCGGUUUAGGUUCACAUAUAUUUCGACCCUGAACCGGCGGUCCGAACCGGCGGUUCGACUCUGAACCGCCAGUUCCAGCCGAAUUUUUAAAUUUUUUUUUAAAUCAAAUUCAUAUCCUAUAGUAUUUUUUAAUGUGGGAUUCAACUUAACUUAUAAAUAUAUAACUUAUAUUCAUGUAAUAUAUAUUUAUUAAAUUGCGAUUUUAUUAAAAAGGAAAAAGAAACCUAAAAACCCUUGAAAGCACACGAAAGCAGACUAAGGUCUAGGGAUCAAACCCCAUUGCUCCCCCUCUCCCAAAUGUCAAAAAAAAAAAAAAUUAUAAAUAUAUAACUUAUAUAAUAACUUAUAAAUAUAUCUUGUAUUUUUUAAAUUUUGCGUAUAUAUAUACUUAACUUUAAUAAUUUUGAAAUUACUCAACUUAAAAAUCUUAAAUAAUAUAAUAACCUAUAAAAAUUUUAAAUUUUAAUAAUUUUUGAAAUUUUUGAAUAAUUUUAAUAAUUUUAGUAAUAUAAUACUUAACUUUAAUAAUUUUGAAAAUUUUCAACACUUGUAAAGUAAAAAUUUUUGAAAUUUCAUCACAAAUCAUUUAAUUUCAUAAAAAAGAAUACAAAAAAAAAUUAAAAAGGAAAAGCCCGUGAACCACCGGUUUUCGGCCCGGCCUGGAACCGCCGGUUCAGGGUCCAAAAAUCGGCCCUUCAAAUUUUAGGCGGGCCGGUUCAGGUUCAUGAAAUUUUUGAACCUGAAUCACCGGUUCGGGCCCGGAACCGGCGGUUCCUGAACCGGUGGCAACCCUAAGUGUAAUAGUUAAAAGUGUUUGUGGGGUAUAUUGCCAAAAAUAAAUUAGGAAUAAAAUUUGGUGGACAGACCGAAAUAGCAAUAUAGGUAUAUUUUUGGUGGACGAAGGGUUUACUCAUUUGUAAAUAUAUCUUUAUUUAAUUCUUUCUUUUACUCCCACUUUAAUUUAUCAUUAAAUAAGAUGUAUGAACAUAUUAGGUCCAAUAUUUUAUUUGUAUUCCUUGUUUAAAUUCAAACCAUUCUAUAUAAUUGGGACGACGGGAGUUAAUAUAUAUUAUUACGCUAUCCCAUGAGAUGAACGACGAGUAUAAAAAAUGAACGAUAUUUUAAAUAAAUAAAUAUAAAUAUUAAAAAAUUAAAAUAUAAAUAAAUGAUAGAUGAGAUAGAUAAAAUUGAUAGGAUUGGUGGAUGGUGAGAUUAUCAAUUUUGAGGUGACAAAUAAUCAUUCAAUAGAAUGAUUAGGGUGCAUUAAAUAAUCAUUCAAUAGAACGAUUAUGGUGCAUGUUGAGUUACCUAUUACGGGAUGAAUCAUACAAAUCAAAUAAUUAAUUAAUUAAAUUGAAUGAUUUAAUGAAUUAUUUCCUACACUCAAACCAAAUAUCUUCUUUUAAGUAUGUGAUUACAACAAAAUUGAGGUACCAAAGACUCUCUUCCAAGAGGUCAUUGCUCCAAGUCCCGCCGAUAGCGUGUGGAUUGUAUUUUAUUUGGAUGUUGAGUUGUAUUUGCAUCUGUAUUUAUUUGAAUAUUUGAUAUAGUUUGCAAUAACAUGAUUGUUAUUUGAUUAAUUAAUUACAAAAAAAAAGAUUUAAUUGCCGGUGAAGGAAUUAGCGGCGGCACGUGGCCGCCGCUAAUUUUCUGGUCGGAGAUGUCAUCGGCGACGGCAAAAUGAAGCAGCCGGGGAUUACUGGCGGCUACUAUCGCCGGUAAACGUUGUCGGCCAAGUCGGGUGGUUGGCCGGACUUUUACCAGAUAAAAAUGCUGUAUUCUUACAUUUCCUACACGGGCACCUAAUGUUACCGAUUCCAUCUGUACACGCCGUUUGAUUUAUCGCAAACUCAAGGAAACCCUCAAGUCCCGUUUCAAAUGCAGCAUGAUCAUUGUAUCUCGCGUACAUCCACAUACGAUUAUCACUCUUUCUUGCAAAUUCUAAUUGAAAAAAAUAAAUAAAUAAAAUAUAAUAAAUUACUUGAAAUCUAAUAAAAUUUCGACAGCAUAACCCCACUAUCCUAACUACCAAGUGCUCGACUCUACCAGCAGCUAUAGUGAUAGCAGUCCUAAUUUACUAAGCCUAUACUCGGUCUACCCGGCCCCCCAAUAUCGAAGAAAUAAUAUAAUACAUAUAAAGCAAUAAAAAACAGAGUAAUUAAAUUAAACACAAUUAUUUGUUGCGAGAAGAUCCUUAAGAAAUAAUCAAUUUCUACACCAAAGGGAGAAGAUCCUUAAGAAAUUGAUUAAAUCUAUCCCACAAUAUAUAAUAACAUAUCAUUUUAUCUAAACAAAAUUAAUCAAACUAACAAAUUCUUAAUACUUAAUAUAACAAAUUCAUACUUAAUCAUACUUUAAAAACUAACAAAAUUAAUCAAACUAAUUAAAAUUAAUUUUACUUAAUUCAUAAUUCACCAUACUAUAAAUUAAUUUAAAUAUAUAUAAUUAACAUUAAUUUUAAUCUAACAAAAUAAUAAUAAAUCAAUUUAAAAUUAAUCAAACAAAUUACAAUUAAUCAUACUUCAUAAACAUCCUAUAAAUUAAUUAAAGUUAAUUUUAAUCUAACAAGUAAAUAAAUAAAUAAAAUGACGAGAACAAGAGCGUACCAUGGUGGUCGGCAACGGAACAGUGGCGGUAGCGGUAGCGGUGGGGCGGCGGGAACAACAUGAAAUUAGGGGGAGAGAGGAAGAGAGGGUGAGAGAGAGAGAGAGAGAGAAAAGGGUGGAUGCUUACCUUGACGAGGCGGACGGCAGGGGCGAUGGCGGCUACAGGCGACGGUGGCGGUAGCGGUGGGGCGCGGGUGGGGGGGGGGGGGGGGGCAGAGGGAAGGUGGGGGGCUGCUGGGGAGAAAUGCGGCUGGAGCUAGGGCGAAGACUAAUUUGGGCCUAAAAAUUAGCGGCAGCCCACGCCGCCGCUAUUAGCCGACCCGCUGUCAUUUCCCGGCGGCAAUAAACCGCCGCUAAUGGCCGGCGGCUAAAGGCCGCUACUAAUUUUUAAAAAAAAACAAAUCAAAAAUUAAAAUACAUUUUGCGGCGGCCGAAAAAUUUAUCGUCGGAAAUGCCGCCGAAAUUUCGGUCAAAUUUUACAAAAUCAGGUCGGCCGCUUCGCCGUCAGCGAGCCGCCACGGAUUCCCGGCGGCCGUCCCGCCGCCGCUAUUUCCGCCGCUAAUAUGGCUUUUUUUUGUAGUGAUUUAAGGACUCGUUUGCUACAUGAUAUUGGAUAAUGUAUGAUAUCUUUGACUUAGAGGUUAAUGUCCAAAACUUGAGGUUUUGGGUUCGAGUCCUCCGUCGCGCGGUCUUUGAAUUUUUUUAUUUAUUUAUGUAAUUUAUGAAAAAAUAUAUAAAUAAUAGAUAAUGAAUCAUUAAUUUAUAAGAAGGUUUAAUUUUUAUUAAAAUGUUAUAAGUAUUUAUCUCAUGCUCUUGUAGGGUAUAGUACUAUAGUAUUAUGUAUAGUAAACGAGUGCAAGCAUAUUAAACACACACCUUGUAUUUCUCAAAAGACAAAAACAAAAAAGUAUGCGAUUACUUACUGAUUAGUGAUAAUGAGAGUGGGGGGGAAGUAAUGGAGUUGUGCAGAAGUAUUAUUAUAUGUGAAACCUAAUAUGGUGUGGGAGUUGGCAAUGCAUAAAGUCAGUAUCAGUCAAGAGAGGAAAAGAGAGACGCAGAGAGAAAUUAAGAGCCACACAAAUCGUAGCUGACUUAACUACGUUAUUGCAUUGCUUACAUUUACUUUUAGGGUCCGUUCUCUUUAAUCAUAAAUUUAUCAUGGAAAAAUAAAAGAUAAAUAAAAUUUUACCCUUUAAAUCCUUCUUUUUUUUUUCUUCACAUUUUCUACUUGACCUUUACUCAUUCCUCAUUUACACUACAAAGGAGGGAUAAUAUUAUCACACCAUUUUUGGAGGGUCAAGUAGUGUAAGGGUCAAGUAGGAAAUGUGGAAAAAGAAAUGAAUGAUUUAAAGGGUGAAAUUUUGUUUAUCCUUCCUUUUCCCAUGAUAAAUUUACAACAACAAAAAAAAAAAAAACGCACCCUAACCUCUACAAAUUGUGGCGCAUUUCAACCUAGACUUUUACUAUGAAAUUAAGUGCGUUACCUAUACUAUGUAUACAUAAAGGUAAUAUGAAGUAUACAUAACAUAUUGAUUACCGUUUUAUAUGAAUAUACUACCGUUUAAUAACAUAUAUAAAUAUAUGUUAUAAAAUAUAUUUUUUACGUACUGUAUUGUAACUAUACAUAAUAGAUUUUUAUAUUUUAUAUAACAGUCAAUUACGUUAUCUAAUGAUAGCAAACAUAACAAUUUUUAACAAUUAUGAAACUAAUUUUUUCCGUUAUAAAUUGUAUUUCUUACAUUAUACAUAACGUCUUUUUUUUGUUUUACAUAACAGUCAUAUCCGUUAUGAAAUGUAACAACUUUUAAUCGCUAUGAAAUUUAUAUUAUUCGUUGUGCAAUUAGCUUAUAGAUAACAGUGUUUAUAUGUAUUUAGAGAAUGACACUAAGAACCGUUAUGUAUUCUUGAAUAUUGAAUUCAAGCAGUAUUUUAUUUUUUAUUUUUGCCAAAUUUUAUAAUUUCCUAAAUACAAAUUAUACAAUAUAUAAUAUCUUGAAAUACUACAAUCCAAAACAUAUAUUAUAUAAAUACUUAAUCAUCCAAGCAUUGUAUCAUCCAAAUAAUUUAAAUGGCAAGCGUAUAUCGAAAUUGCUUAACCAACCAUUUCCAAAUAGCUAGUAUAGUCAUUUAUAAUUUUCAACAAAAUAUGGUAUUCUGAAGCAGCUUGUUGGAAAAUUAAUGAAAUAUCUUUAUUCUAAUUUUGAUGAUACUAAAACCCUUAGUUUUUCUUUUAGUUGACUAGAUCUUUUAGAACUCAGUGUUAGAGUUCAAUUUACUAGCUAGACUGAAGAAUUGUAGAUUGAAGACCGACGAACUGAAGAUCGCUUGACUGAAGAUUGCAACUGGAAAGGUUGAAGACAAAUACUAAAGUAUUUAAAGGACGGAGUCUUCACUGAAGAUUCAGUUAUGACUAAAUAACUAAUGUUGGCCACGUGGAAAUAGCGGAGUGAUACAUAAGUCAAGUAUCAGUGGACAUUCUUCAUCGGACUGAAGACUUAGGUUUAAAGGAGCCACGUAUUCACACCAAGUACAACCGCAUUAAAUGCGAAGAUAUGAAGAUCGUCCUCGCCUGCGCAGAGCUUUCCUUUUUCGUGCUAACUUUUCAGAAGCACCAUGCUCUUACUGCUAGAGACGCCCUUCCUCAACAAAUCAGGAGCCUCGAAGAUGGAAGCCUCAGCCCAAGAUUCAAAUCUAUCUCACAACGGAUCUAUUCAAGACUUUGCCUAUAAAUAGAGCUCAAGGAUCAUCUUCAAUUUUCAUCGAUUCAAACACUUAAGCUGAAACUCUGCCAAAUCUGCAUCUCAGCCUAUUCAUUGCUAUUCAAAGUUUGAAUCGAAGAAGAAAAUAUCCAAAGCUCAAAUCAGUUUACUGAUUACCAAAAUUCUCUUAUCAUUCUUAGGCAUUUUCAUUGUAAACCUUUAGCCUAAGCUCCAAUUACUAAGAGCCUGUUCUUAGUAAUCCAGUUGCUACUCGAACCCUUUUCUAAAAGAGCGAAAAGAAAGUUUGAGAGAGAGAGUUUUAGACAAUUGUCUGAACUCAAGAGUUCUUAGCCCCGCAACCAAGACAUCUGUUGUCUUUGCAACUGCGAGUUAAGAAGGAGACGAGAAGUCCAAUCCAGUGUAUUGGCACUGAAACCUAGUUUCAGUUUAAGGUUUGCUUUGCACCGUAAAUACAAGCCCAGAGUAUUUGUCAGUGUGAUCGGCUGGUCGUGGAUGUAGGAACUUGUUUAUGAACCACGUAAAAAUCUCGUGUUGUUUAUUGCUUUCAAUUUUUACGAUUCCUUGCUUGUGCACAAACUAUUUAUUUAACUAAAACUACUAACUGAAAAGAGAAACUUAAAACAGACAAAGUGUCAAUCACAAAGGCUAUUUCUUAAUUUUAAUUUUCCGCUGCUGGUGUUAUCAGUCUAACUGACAAAUCCUUGGAUAGUAAGUAAGAUUUAUUAUAACACUUAUCUAAUUUCAAAUUAUAGACUGAAACCUUUCGUGGAUUACCAAUUAAAGCGUUGUGCCUAACUGAAAUCAAAUCACUGAAACUAUUUCAGUAUCAGUCUACACCCCAUUCUAAACUGAAACAUCUUUGACUGUUGACUUCAGUCUACAUUCUUUCAGUAUCAAUCGAUACUCACUUCUGUGUUAUCAAAAGAAUUUUCGAAAAAUAACCCACUGGUGUUUCCCCCCCCCCAAUACACCAGUUCAGUGACCCUCCGGGACCCAACACAGCUUCGAGUCAAAAGCAACCCAUCCAUCCCAACUCUCGUUUGCCAAAUCGCGGAAUCAAAACUAAAAAUCAAACCGGGGCGUAUCUCGUCUUGCGGAUAGAGGAUCCUCCUCGACUCGGCUACAUCUUUUCACGGGUUUUUCCAUUCUUGUAAUUUCAAUAUAGUUUAGUUCAUUGUAAUUCUCAUCUCCUACUUUUUUGUUUCAUUGUAACUACGCCCGCAAGUGGAUUUAAAUUCUCACCAACAUCUCAUACAAGACUUGUACUGGUAAAAUAAAAUAUGAACUUGAAACACAAAUACAACCUUAACGCUAAUGAAUGAAUUUAUCCAAUUUCAGAAAUUGAAUUUGAAAACAGACAAGAAAUGUUCAGACCAAAAAAACACAAAAACAAAAUUCUAAUAACCUGUCGGCUCUCGGAGAAGAGCCAUGGUUUUCUCACUAGUUUAGGAUUAAAUUCCAUAGAAGUACGGAUCAUGGUGAUUUUCAGGAGAAUACAAAGAAAGGUGUCGGAAAAUCUAGGAAGAAGAAGGAGAUAGAAUCAAAGACACACAAAAAAUGUAUCGAAUUUAAGCACGAACAAAGAAGCAAGAUCACAAGGAAGGAAAGGUACCUUGUUUGUUCCCGAACAUGUUAAACAUGAGCUUUCGUCGGGUCGUCACCGGGAAAAGACGUCGGGAGAAGCAAAGGCGAAUAGGAUUGGAUCGGAAAAAAAAACUAACAAAAGGCAAAUGAAGCGAUAAUGAUCGAAAGCGG